GAGUGCAUACAUUUUCAUACUUUUUUUGUACUGCUCCCCCGUGGGAAUCGAACCCACAACCCUGGUGUUGCAAGCAGCAUCCUGUACCAACUGAGCAUCCUCGCUAGUGGAGGUGAUAAUUGUACUUCAGUGACCCUCUGUUGCUUUGUUGUAGUCAGAUGUGUUGCUAGAGGUGGCGUAAAUAAAAAAUUAAGGAGGGAUGCACAUCAUUGUAGUGCCCCAAAUGAAGUCCGACGUUAUGACAUGCAUAAGCUAUGCAGAGGGCAGGCUUUAUUAUGUUGUUAUAUGACUAAUAUUCAAAGUAGGUUUAGAAAAGUUUUAUAUGAUGUAGUGUAUGUACAUCUGAUGUCUGAUUAAGCUGAAUAAAUCUGAGCAUGACCAACUGUAUUUCAAUUCCUGAAAAGGGCAUGUUUUACUUUUAUAUAGAAUGAAUAUUCAAAGGGGAAUUAUUUAUUAAAAGGAAGUCUACCUAAAAUCUGAAAUGUAAAAUGCAACUCCUCACUAUAAAAACAGUUGACUGGUGUAAACAUGCUCCAGGAUGUUUUUAUCUUGUCAUAUUUUAUGUAAUGUGGAAAAUUGGUAACAGCACAGAAACGGCUGAUACUCGCUUAUCUAAAUCCCAUAUUACUCAAAAACAUCUAUUCUGAUACCACAUCACCCAUGGCUGCAUCUCAAAUAGCACCCGAUUCCCUUUAUAGUGCACAACUUUUGACCAGGGCCCAUAGGACUGGUCAAACAGUGUACUAUAUAGGCAAAAUGGUACUAUUUGGGAUGCACUAAACUUCUAACACCAUCUGGACCUUUCAUUUCCACGACCCUAAGUGAACUAUUAAUUAAUCAGAACAAGCCCACUUUAUUAAUUAUGUUAAUGAUGUAUGAAUGUGGUUUGAACUCAAUGUGGAGACACCUGACGUGCACCAUUCACCAUUCAAAUCUGAGGUAACCCAUUGAAUAGGCAUUACCUAAUCAGACCAUCAAAGCUGAACACAUGCACAUGAUGUCAAUGUUUGAUUCUAUUCUACCACCGUGGGUGCAUCUCAAUAGUGUUUCCUCGCGUCCUCUUUCCUAGCCGCCUCCUCAAAUUGUGUUGGAGGCGAGGAGAGGACGCGAGGACUCAAUUAAAUACUAUUGAGAUUCUACCACCAUGAUCUGAAUUCAUAGUUUCCUGAAAGGAGUGGAUGAUGUGAGAGGGUCAGGGGAUAGCCUACUUCGCCGUAGUAACGGUACCUUAGCAACUGCAGAGUUAAUGGGUGAUAUUUAAAGGGCUGGUAGUGGAUCCCUCCCCCAGGUUUCAUACAGGUUGUAUUCCAUCCCCCUUGCAUAUCAACAGGCAGGAGAGGUUUGCUUCUGACAGUGACUGACUGAAGUAUUUCCCAUUUCAUUUUUUCAUAGAGAGACGAGGAGCGAGGGACAAAGUCACUAUGGGUACCAGCUCCUCAUCAUACGCACCCAAGACGGUCUACCUAGAUGUGGAUGGGAAAAUGCAGAGGGUGAUUUUCAGUCGAUACUGCAGCCCCUGUGACAUCCGAGAACUGCUGUGUUCUUCCUCUAACAUAGCCAGAAAUACAGCUAUAAUGCUGAUGGACUCAGAGGGAGCGUUGGUCUCCAUCGAUCCCACAAUGCCUACCAACACCCCAAACUCCCUGUACAAAGUAAUGCCUCAGUCGGCUGGUCAGCUGGGAGACAAAGAAGACAUGUUCCAGAAUGUUUUGUCUCAGGUGGCAGAGCAAUUUAGCAGGGCUUUUAGAAUCAAUGAGUUGAAGACAGAGGUGACCAAUAGGCUCGCCAUGUUGGAGAAGAGAGUGGAGUUAGAAGGGCUUAAAAUGGUGGAGAUUGAGAAGUGCAAGAACGACCUGAGGAAAUUACGGGAUGAGAUGAACUCAAAGGGAGGAGGAAGAGUGACUUGUGGCUGCAAAUAUAGCUUCACAGGGGACGGCAAGAAACUGUCCCCAAGACGAGAUGUCCCAAAUUACCCAAAGUAUACUCUAUCCCAGGAGACCAUAGAAGCUCUCAAGAAACCUACAUUUGACGUUUGGCAUUGGGAGCACAAUGAGAUGUUAAGCUGUCUGGAGUACAUGUAUCAUGAUCUGGGCCUGGUGAAGGAGUUCAAUAUGAACCCCAUCACACUGAAACGAUGGCUGCUGGGAAUCCAGGAGAAUUACCGCAACAACCCGUUCCAUAACUUCCGCCACUGCUUCUGUGUCAGUCAGAUGAUGUAUGGAAUGAUUCACCUGUGCAACCUACAAGAGAGGCUCACCAUGACUGACAUGUGCGUCCUCAUGACAGCUGCCGUGUGUCACGACCUAGAUCACCCAGGCUACAACAACACGUACCAGAUAAACGCUCACACAGAGCUGGCGGUGCGCUACAACGACAUCUCGCCCCUGGAGAACCACCACUGUGCCGUGGCCUUCCAGAUCAUCUCCAUGCCAGAGUGUAACAUCUUCGCCAACAUAGAAACGGAGGCCUUCAAACACCUCAGACAGGCUAUCAUCACUCUCAUCUUAGCCACAGACAUGGCCAGACACGGUGAGAUACUGGACUCCUUCAAGCAGAACGUGGACAACUUUGACUUCACCAACGACGAGCAUGUGAAAUGUCUAAAGCUGGUGCUGAUCAAGUGCUGUGACAUCUCCAACGAGGUGAGACCCACGGAGGUGGCCGAGCCCUGGUUAGACUGCCUGCUGGAGGAAUACUUUAUGCAGAGUGACAGAGAGAAAUCUGAGGGUCUCCCAGUAGCUCCGUUCAUGGAUCGGGACAAAGUGACAAAACCCACCGCUCAGAUCGGCUUCAUCAAAUUUGUCCUCAUUCCAAUGUUUGAGACUGUUAUGAAGCUCUUCCCCCAGAUUGAGGAGAUUAUGGUGCAGCCUUUGCGGGAUUCUCGAGACCACUAUGAAGAACUAAAACAGAUUGACGAUGCCAUGACAGAGGUGUCUUUUGUUCUACGAGGCACAGAAGAAAAAAACUGAGAGCAAGUCAUUAGGAGGAAAGAAGAAAUAAACCUGCAAACUCUUUGGUACCUUAUAAAGACCUCGGAUGGUGUUUCCAUUCCGAGGGGGAAGCAAGGCAUCUGCCUGAGCAACCGUCUUGGCUUGGUUUUGGCCAUAGAAAAGGAGACUCCUCCCCUAAUACCACAACUUCCUAUAGUUAUGUCCACUACUUCCUGUGUCCAGCCUAGGCAAGUAGGGUGAAGAAAAAUAUGAAUUAACCAAUCAGCACCUUCCUUCUCUCCUUAGCCCCACCCAACAUAAAGCGAGAAGAGGAGAGAAGACGACAAUGAUAUUAUAUUGUUUGGCCUUAGGGAUGGCCACACUGGUGCUGGUUUUGUUUCUUCCUCUUCUUUUUUCACCAGCUUUUCUUUUGGUAGAGAAGGAUGAAACAUUUAGGGACAAAUAUAAAGAGAUUGUAUCUUCUAAAUUAAUAUGUGAGGUAGGUUAAAUAAUAGUAUUAUAAUAUGGAUUGUAUUUACAUAGGGCUUUUCAUUGUAUAGGGGUAACGUACUGUACCUCAGCCACCUUAUUGGCAUUUUAAAGCAAAGACAAAGUUGGAGAUUAGGGAUAUAUAGCAGGUCUGCACUAUUUGAACUUAGCCAGUUUGGUAGAAAUCACUACAUGAUUUACAGUGAAAGGACAAAUACAUUUCUACCAGUGUAUAUUUUGACACGUGCGUGUAUGACUUUGCAUAUCAAAUAAAAUAGCAAUACUUAU